CGUUCCCGGGCCUUGUACACACCGCCCGUCACACCACGAAAGUUGGCAACACCCGAAGCCAGUGGCCCAACCCUUUUGGGAGGGAGCUGUCGAAGGUGGGGUUAGCGAUUGGGUG
rnacentral:rRNA from 1 species